rnacentral:rRNA from 1 species
GACGAACGCUGGCGGCGUGCCUAACACAUGCAAGUCGAGCGGAGUCGAUCGACGGAAGCCUUCGGGCGGAAGAUGGUUGACUUAGCGGCGGAUGGGUGAGUAACGCGUGGGCAACCUGCCUCGAAGACCGGGAUAACAGCCCGAAAGGGCUGCUAAUACCGGAUGUGGUCAAGGAUCCGCAUGGAUUUUUGAUUAAAGGGGAAACCCGUUUCGAGAUGGGCCCGCGUCCUAUCAGCUAGUUGGUGAGGUAAAAGCUCACCAAGGCGACGACGGGUAGCCGGCCUGAGAGGGUGACCGGCCACACUGGAACUGAGACACGGUCCAGACUCCUACGGGGGGCAGCAGUGGGGAAUCUUCCACAAUGGGCGAAAGCCUGAUGGAGCGACGCCGCGUGAGCGAAGAAGGCCUUCGGGUUGUAAGCUCUGUCUGGAGGGACGAAGGAAGUGACGGUACCUCCGGAGGAAGCCACGGCUAACUACGUGCCAGCAGCCGCGGUAAGCUACGUAGA